rnacentral:rRNA from 1 species
UACGUAGGUGGCAAGCGUUGUCCGGAUUUAUUGGGUUUAAAGGGUGCGUAGGCGGCCUAGUUAAGUCAGUGGUGAAAUAUCUCAGCUCAACUGAGAGUGUGCCAAUGAUACUGAUGGGCUUGAGUACAGAUGAGGUAGGCGGAAUUGACGGUGUAGCGGUGAAAUGCUUAGAGUAUCGUCAAGAACACCUAUAGCGAAGGCAGCUUACUAGGCUGUGAACUGACGCUGGAGGCACGAAAGUGUGGGGACUCAAACAGG